rnacentral:lncRNA from 12 species
AUGCAAAAAAAGUCCCCCAAAGCGAGCAGAAUGUAUCAUGUCGGAGUCGAAAGUCAGGACAGGAAAAGCUGGGCUGCCAGUCCCUUGAUACAAUAUAGAAGAUGGGCUUUUUUCCCCUUAAUUGUUAAUAUUGCUGUGCUGAGCACACAAGGAGCAGAUCAACAGAUACGGCAGGUGUGCGCACAGUUUUCGGUUGCUGCUGCCGCUGCUGCGGCGGGCGUGUUUAACAGAGGAGGCAGCUCGGGAGCGGAGGGAUCGGCACAGCAGCGGCUCUGCCUUCUUGCAGCCGAGGGUCCUGCAAGCCUCGCUUCCUCCGCUCGCCGCGCCUCGGCCUCCCAGGGGCGCAGGGCCGGGCCGCACGCGAAUUCACAAGGAGCAGGGGCUCGAGUUCACCAAGUUUUCCUCAAUUUUGCAAACCGUGGCUCGGUCUCCAAGCCUCGCGGUUUAAGACCACAGGAUUUCCAGAAAGGAAAAACUCCAAAGCCCGCAAGGCGCAGGACCCGAGCAAGCGGAGCGGGCUCUGGCCGCCUGGCCUCCGGGACCCCGGCCCGCUCGGCUCUGCCCCACGCGCCUCGCUCCCUUCUUUCCCUCCGAAAUCCGUCCUCUCCGCCGAGGGGCUGCCGGGCCCCCGACCCACCCCCCGCGCCGAGGAUAAACACAGUCGACAUCACUGUUAUAAUCUUUAUUUAAAACUGUUUCCAAGGUGACAAAUUACCGUGCCUCGUAUGCAACAGGUUCCUCCGAAGCGGUAUCAUUACAGAUUAACUGUAAUGUGCAGGAUUAGAAUAAAAGCAUAAGGGAUUAGGUAAAAGGGGGGACG